rnacentral:lncRNA from 1 species
GGUUUUACCAAUACUCCCUUAUUGGUAACAAUCUCCCCCUUUUUGAUGAUGAUAAAAAAUUCUCUUUUUAAAAGCAACUCAGGUUUACCUGCAACACAUACAAACUAAAAAACAGCCACAGGGUUAACAGUACUUGUACAAUUUUUUAUUUCUCCCCUUAUUUCUCCCCUUAAUAAAUUUCUUCUCCCCCUUUUUGAUCAUAAGCAAAAAGAAUAAUGAAAAAAUCUCCCCCUUAAAAUGAGCUCCCCCUAAAAAAAUGCAU